rnacentral:tRNA from 1 species
GCGGAUGUGGCGGAAUUGGUAUACGCGUACGGUUUAGGACCGUAUGGAGAAAUCCAUGGAGGUUCAAGUCCUCUCAUCCGCA